CCUAUGGGGGGCUGCAGUGGGGAAUUUUGGACAAUGGGGGCAACCCUGAUCCAGCCAUGCCGCGUGAGUGAAGAAGGCCUUCGGGUUGUAAAGCUCUUUCGGACGGAAAGAAAUCGCGCAGGUAAAUAAUCUGCGUGGAUGACGGUACCGUAAGAAGAAGCACCGGCUAACUACGUGCCAGCAGCCGCGGUAAUACGUAGGGUGCGAGCGUUAAUCGGAAUUACUGGGCGUAAAGCGUGAGGACGGGGCUGAAAUCCCCGGGCUUAACCUGGGAAUGGCGCUUGUGACUGCAAGGCUCGAGUGCGGCAGAGGGGGGUGGAAUUCCACGUGUAGCAGUGAAAUGCGUAGAGAUGUGGAGGAACACCGAUGGCGAAGGCAGCCCCCUGGGUCGACACUGACGCUCAUGCACGAAAGCGUGGGGAGCAAACAGGAUUAGAUACCCUUGUAGUC
rnacentral:rRNA from 1 species